UACGUAGGGGGCGAGCGUUGUCCGGAAUUAUUGGGCGUAAAGAGCGUGUAGGCGGUUCGGUAAGUCUGCCGUGGAAACCUGGGGCUCAACCCCGGGCGUGCGGUGGAUACUGCCGGGCUAGAGGGUGGUAGAGGCGAGUGGAAUUCCCGGUGUAGCGGUGAAAUGCGCAGAUAUCGGAAGGAACAUCAGUGGCGAAGGCGGCUGUCUGGCCCAAUACUGACGCUCAUGUGCGAAAGCGUGGGGAGCAAACAGG
rnacentral:rRNA from 1 species